AGAGCCUUCUACACACCUAGGCUACACUGUACAGCCUAUUGUGCUCCUAGGCUGCAAACCUGUACAGCUACAGCAUGGUACUGUACUGAAUACUGGAGGCAAUUAUACACAAUUUUAAGCAUUUGUGUACCUAAAAGGCUGAAGUGCAGUGGUGAGACUGCAGCCUCAACCUCCAGGGCUCAAGCAAUCCCCCUACAUCAGCCUCUGGAGUAGCUGGAACAACAGAUAUGCACCACCACACCCAGAGACCGAGCUACCUAAAUACCAAAACUACUGACGCUGUGAGCAGGAUUCGAACCUGCGCGGGGAGACCCCAUUGGAUUUCGAGUCCAACGCCUUAACCACUCGGCCAUCACAGCCGCGUGCGCUGUUGGCCCUGCGCAACUAUAGCUGCCUAUCAACACGCCCGCCUCCAGCCGGCUCCACCCGGCUCCACCCGCGCUGCCUAGAGACGUCUGCGCUCGUGCGCCUCGGCUCGGUGGCGCAGACCAUGCCUUCCCUCCAGCAGACGUCAGCAGCCCCAUUGGAGCGGCAGCCUUCCUAUUCUCCCUCUCCUCCCUGAGCAUAGGAUGGAAACAAAACGGGUCCAAAUCCGAGCCCUGUCUUCCAUACUCUUGAGGACAGACCCUGAGAUGCCUACUUCAGGCUACUUCAUGAAACCGAAGUGAGAAUCUGUAGUUUCCAAUACACACUAAAAGUGCAGGGAAACGGAGGUCCAAAGACGGAUUGGCAUGUAAGAAGAAUCUUAGGGAGAUUCUAGAAGAAAUGUUGCUUAGAAAGGCCCUUUGAAAGUGGAGAAGUGUACUUGCAGCAAUAAAGUAUCACUCCCCGCUAACUUAGGCACCGCUGGGAUUCG